rnacentral:rRNA from 1 species
AUUGACCGCUGGCGGCAGGCCUAACCCAUGCAAGUCGAGCGGAGCGGCGGACGGGUGAGUAAUGCAUAGGAACCUGCCCGGUAGUGGGGGCUAACGACACGAAAAGGGCGCUAAUACCGCAUACUAUAAGAGGAGCCUAGGUCGGCUUAGCUAGUUGGUGGGUUAAAGGCCUACCAAGGCGACGAUCCGUAACUGGUCUGAUAGGAGGAUCAGUCACACUGGAACGGAGACACGGUCCAGCCUCCUACGGGAGGCAGCAGUGGGGAAUAUUGGACAAUGGGGGAAAGCCUGAUCCAGCCAUGCCGCGUGUGUGAAGAAGGUCUUCGGAUUGUAAAGCACUUUAAGUUGGGAAGCGUUACCAACAGAAUAAGCACCGGCUAACUUCGUGCCAGCAGCCGCGGUAAUAC